rnacentral:rRNA from 1 species
UACGUAGGGACCAAGCGUUGUUCGGAAUUACUGGGCGUAAAGAGCGCGUAGGCGGCUUUGUACGUUAGAGGUGAAAGCCCGGAGCUCAACUCCGGAACUGCCUUUAAAACUGCAUCGCUUGAAUCCAGGAGAGGUGAGUGGAAUUCCGAGUGUAGAGGUGAAAUUCGUAGAUAUUCGGAAGAACACCAGUGGCGAAGGCGGCUCACUGGACUGGUAUUGACGCUGAGGUGCGAAAGCGUGGGGAGCAAACAGG